UGAAGAACAGCUUUAUUAAAUGAUCCACUAAAGACCUUCCUUGCAGAAGUCCGCAAGGCUGUGAUAGACUUCACCUCAGAGGUCACCUACGCCCAGCCAGCUGAGGGGGCAUCUCCAACAAGGUCUCCAUCCAUGCAGCAGUGACGGGACUCCCAGUAGAGGAGGUGGUCUGCCUCAGUGCUCGCAUCAACACCACUCGCUACAAGCUGAUGGUGGCAGAUACUGUGAUUGAGAAAUUUGCUUCAAUUAAGAGUGAAAUUGAAAAACUGAAGAUGAACAAGGACCACUUAGAGAAGGUUUUACAAGUGAAUUUCUAGGUGCAAGAUUGGAUAUCGAUGGUCUCUUGACUGUAGUCAGUGGACUGUACUACAUGACCAGGUUACAGGACAAACAGCCACAGUCAGAUUCCAUGCUCCAGUGGGGGCCCUGAGACACAGUAGCCAGUAACCUUGACCAAGGGCUCAAACUUGGCAUCUUCACCCUGAGGAUUAUUGAUCUGUGAUCUGAGGCAUACCUGACAAGCCAAGGGGAUCUCCCCAGGAAAGGAAGCUGCUUGAGAAACUGAAGAUCAGAAGUUGAUUGCUAAGAAUACACCAGAGCCUCAGAGUCAGUGGCACAAAGAGAGGCUUCUGUCAAGCCGUGGCUGUCCCGAAUCCCCUGUCUGCACGGAUGAGGAAAUCUGAAGUUCGGGGAGAAUAAAUGGUUUACCAAGGU